GAUAAACGCUGGCGGCGUGCUUAACACAUGCAAGUCGAACGGAAAGGCCUCAGCUUGCUGGGGUACUCGAGUGGCGAACGGGUGAGUAACACGUGGGUGAUCUGCCCUGCACUUUGGGAUAAGCUUGGGAAACUGGGUCUAAUACCGAAUAUGACCACUUCUUGGAUGUUGUGGUGGAAAGCUUUUGCGGUGUGGGAUGAGCCUGCGGCCUAUCAGCUUGUUGGUGGGGUAAUGGCCUACCAAGGCGGCGACGGGUAUCCGGCCUGAGAGGGGGUACGGACACAUUGGGACUGAGAUACGGCCCAGACUCCUACGGGAGGCAGCAGUGGGGAAUAUUGCACAAUGGGCGCAAGCCUGAUGCAGCGACGCCGCGUGGGGGAUGAAGGCCUUCGGGUUGUAAACUCCUUUCGCUAUCGACGAAGCCACUUGUGGUGACGGUAGGUAGAUAAGAAGCACCGGCUAACUACGUGCCAGCCGCCGCAGUAA
rnacentral:rRNA from 1 species